rnacentral:rRNA from 1 species
GAUGAACGCUGACAGAAUGCUUAACACAUGCAAGUCCACUUGAAUUUGGGUUUUUAACUUCGGUUUGGGUGGCGGACGGGUGAGUAACGCGUAAAGAACUUGCCUCACAGCUAGGGACAACAUUUGGAAACGAAUGCUAAUACCUAAUAUUAUGAUAAUAGGGCAUCCUAUAAUUAUGAAAGCUAUAAGCGCUGUGAGAGAGCUUUGCGUCCCAUUAGCUAGUUGGAGAGGUAACGGCUCACCAAGGCGAUGAUGGGUAGCCGGCCUGAGAGGAUGAUCGGCCACAAGGGGACUGAGACACGGCCCUUACUCCUACGGGAGGCAGCAGUGGGGAAGAUUGGACAAUGGACCGAGAGUCUGAUCCAGCAAUUCUGUGUGCACGAUGAAGUUUUUCGGAAUGUAAAGUGCUUUCAGUUGGGAAGAAACAAAUGACGGUACCAACAGAAGAAGUGACGGCUAAAUACGUG